UACGAAGGGGGCUAGCGUUGUUCGGAAUCACUGGGCGUAAAGGGCGCGUAGGCGGCUUUCUAAGUCGGGGGUGAAAUCCUGGAGCUCAACUCCAGAACUGCCUUCGAUACUGGAAAGCUCGAGUCCGGGAGAGGUGAGUGGAACUGCGAGUGUAGAGGUGAAAUUCGUAGAUAUUCGCAAGAACACCAGUGGCGAAGGCGGCUCACUGGCCCGGUACUCGACGCUGAGGUGCGAAAGCGUGGGGAG
rnacentral:rRNA from 1 species